rnacentral:rRNA from 1 species
UAACACGUGGGUAACCUGCCUGUAAGACAUGGGAUAACUCCGGGAAACCGGAGCUAAUACCGGAUAGUUCCUUGAACCGCAUGGUUCAAGGAUGAAAGACGGUUUCGGCUGUCACUUACAGAUGGACCCGCGGCGCAUUAGCUAGUUGGUGGGGUAAUGGCUCACCAAGGCGACGAUGCGUAGCCGACCUGAGAGGGUGAUCGGCCACACUGGGACUGAGACACGGCCCAGACUCCUACGGGAGGCAGCAGUAGGGAAUCUUCCGCAAUGGACGAAAGUCUGACGGAGCAACGCCGCGUGAGUGAUGAAGGUUUUCGGAUCGUAAAGCUCUGUUGUUAGGGAAGAACAAGUGCGAGAGUAACUGCUCGCACCUUGACGGUACCUAACCAGAAAGCCACGGCUAACUACGUGCCAGCAGCCGCGGUAAUACGUAGGUGGCAAGCGUUGUCCGGAAUUAUUGGGCGUAAAGGGCUCGCAGGCGGUUUCUUAAGUCUGAUGUGAAAGCCCCCGGCUCAACCGGGGAGGGUCAUUGGAA